rnacentral:rRNA from 1 species
UCCGGUUGAUCCUGGCGGAGGUUACUGCUAUCGAGGUUCGACUAAGCCAUGCGAGUCGAAUGUAGCAAUACAUGGCGUACUGCUCAGUAACACGUGGACAACCUACCCUCCGGACGGGGAUAAACCCGGGAAACUGGGUAUAAUACCCGAUAGAUCUCGACUGCUGGAAUGCAUCGAGAUCGAAAGCUCCGGCGCCAGAGGAUGGGUCUGCGGCCUAUCAGGUAGUAGUGGGUGUAGCGUACCUACUAGCCUACGACGGGUACGGGUUGUGAGAGCAAAAGCCCGGAGAUGGAUUCUGAGACACGAAUCCAGGCCCUACGGGGUGCAGCAGGCGCGAAAACUUUACAGUGCCGGCAACGGCGAUAAGGGGACCUCGAGUGCCAGGUUACAAAUCUGGCCGUCGUGAUGCCUAAAAAGCAUUGCAUAGCAAGGGCCGGGCAAGACCGGUGCCAGCCGCCGCGGUAACACCGGCGGCUCGAAUGGUAACCGUUAUUAUUGGGUCUAAAGGGUCUGUAGCCGGCCGGAUAAGUCUCUUGGGAAAUCCAGCAGCUCAACUGUUGGGCUUUCAGGAGAUACCGUCUGGCUCGAGGCCGGGAGAGGUGAGAGGUACUUCAGGGGUAGGGGUGAAAUCUUGUAAUCCUUGAAGGACCACCAGUGGCGAAGGCGUCUCACCGGAACGGACCUGACGGCAAGGGAC